UUACAGUUAGUCACUUUCAAUUUAGGUUUAUUCAAAAUUCAAGCUUGAAAUUUUUAUGUUGAAAACAAUUUUGGGUGAGAUCAACCGAAUCUCUUCUUAUUUCCAGCAAUCUGGGGCUUCAUGUGAUUAGAAUUUUCUGUACAUAACUGAACUUGGACUCGGCAUUUAUACUGGUCGUUUGGGUCUUUCACCAUCUUAGACGGCUAAUCUUACCAAUCCUAGUCUUCAUUUCUUAAUGUGUUGUUGUGAGAACUUGUUUAUAGAAGCUUGGAUAUUGAAACAGAACACUCCAUGAAUGUGCUUCUAUACGUAAUUGGUUUAUGUUGAAUUAGUCUGUAUCCCGCUUCCAUACCAACAAUAUUGUUUCUUCAAUGAAAAGCUAUAAAAUUUUCAUGUUCAUUUAAAUUAUGAAGCUUAAUUGUUAUCCAUCUAAAAUUUCUGAUUGCACUUGUUAAUGACAUUAAAAGCUCCACUUUUAGACUGCAGAAUAUAAGGCUCGUGUUGCAAAGAAGUUUCCAAUUGCCACUUUUUUCUUCCUUGUGAUGCUUUAUUCAUCUUCCUGUAAGGUCUGGCUGCAUAUAGGAUUAGAGGCAGUAUUUUGUAUACGUUAAAUGUUCACGUUUAACAUAGUUCAAGAAAGUAUACGUUAGAUGUAUCAAAGUGUUUCGAACUAAUAGGUAGUUGGCCAGCUUUAGGGGUCAGGAAAUGCAUAAUGUUUGUACAGAGACCAGGUGGGCGACUGGAGAUUUUUGAAUGAAGCCGAAACUCAUGGAACUUGUUUCUUUUAUAAAAUUUGUUCUUAAUGGAGAAAGAAUGAAAUCAACUACCCGACAGAAUGGUAGGGUUCAAUACUUCUCUCACUGGAAAAUCAGGCGUACUUAAGAUCGUUUCCCGACCGCCACAGUCAUUUCGGAUCACGGGAGAAAACAAGGUCUCCCCAGAACCCAUAGUUCCACAAGCAGAAAAUUUGCUUCUCGGAGCGAUUAACAUGAGCUUCUCAGAGCGUUUAAACUUAGCGUGGAAGGUUUUAUUCCCAUCGGUUCAACCAGCAAGAAGAAAGAACUCCAACGCAUACAUUGCCAAGCAGCGUUUGAAAAUGGUACUUUUUUCGGAUCAAUGUGAAGUAAGCGAUAAAGCAAAGGAGAAGAUCAUCAGCAAAAUCAUCUGUGUAUUAUCUGAUUUUGUGAUUAUAGAUUCACAAGAUAAAGUUCAGCUUAGUGUUUCAACAGAUCCCGAGCUUGGAACUUUUUACUCGGUUACCGUGCCUGUUUGAAGAGUCAAACCUGAAUAUCAGUUCAAGGAUGAGCAUGGAUAGGGGUGCACAUACCCUACCCAUAUCCGCCAACCCUACCCUACCCGCCCGUGUUUUAACCGUAUCCUAUCCUACCCACUAUUUGGCGGGUAGGGUAACGGGUAAAGAUUUUCUUAACCGCCGUUAGAUGGGUAGGGUGACGGAUAAAGCUCGAAAUUAUCCUACCUUACCCGCCUACCCGUCUAAUACUGAAAAGACAAAGUAACCCUUGUAUUGUUUUCUCCUCCUGCCUAUUUUUUUGUUAUUUUAAAACAUAAUAGGGAUAAAUUACAAAGUAAAUGGAUUUUCUUCAACAAACAAAAUGUCUUACUGCGUUUCUUUUGUGAAAUAAACUUUUCGUUAUCAAAAAAUUUGGUUGCAGUAUUCUCCUUCAACCAUUUCUCCUCUACCUUACUCGAUCUCAUGUUCAUCUUUCAAGGUCUCGUUUAAAACCCUUUAAUCGGUUGGUUCAAGGAUACGACCUCGAGUUGAAGUACAAUUCCAAAUUCAUCAAAGAUAUUUCUUAAGAGAAACGAUGCUGGUGACCAUUUUCCCUCACUUGCAAUCUGCUUAGGCUUUGAACUAUUAAGUUUUACCAUGGUUAAGGACACCGAUUGACAUGGAUCCAUCUACAUUUGGAGCUGAAGAGAAGGAGGAUGACGUCUUAGAAUCAGAUUUAUUUGGUGAUCUUAGUACUUAUUCCAUCAUCGUAGAUGAUGAUUGAAGAAGAAGGUCAAUAUGAAGAGCUUUUGGUGAUGAUACUGUUAUAUGAAGAAUACAACUCUUUUCUUGAGAAUAUUUUUGUUUGUACAUUUUUUAUGGUUAUGCUUUUGUUUCUAA